rnacentral:lncRNA from 1 species
AACAGAGAUCUCUGGAGGUGAAACAUUGCUCUGAACUGGCAUUGAUUCUAGCCCAGCUCUUGUAGACCAAUUACCAACUUGCCUCUGGCUCAUCGGAAUUCAUAGGUUCAGCCUCUGCUUCUUCUCCUUCUCCAGGCAAAGGGUUAUCAACUGUGCUGCACUCUGAGGAGCUUGACUGGUUUAAUCUCUAGAAAGGAAUUCACCACCCCACCAGCACGCGGAACACAAUCAGGAAGGAGUGGAAGAAGUCGUUCAUGUGCCACCGUGGGAGCGUACAGUCAUCAUUGAUCUUGCAGACACAUUCUUUGUAGCUCUUACCAAAGAGCUGCAUGCCGACCACAGCAAAAAUGAAGACGAUGAUGGCCAACACUAAGCCUUUAGACUAAAAAGAAAACAAAUAUUACAUACCCUGAAUCUGUGCUGAAACCACAAAGGAGAGCAUCUUUGGAUCCCUCCAAGUAAUAAAAGUAUUCUGUUGAAGAAGAAUUUGAACAGUUAUAACAUUACAGACUUUAAUCUGUGAUUGUGGUAAAGGAGGUAAAUUAAUUGAUAUAGACAUUUAUCUACAAAUUCAGGCCUGGUCCCAGGCAAUAUGCAUCCAUUUAU